rnacentral:lncRNA from 1 species
UCUGUCAGAGCUAGCCAGAGGUGAGUGGAAUGACUCUUAUGGUUUUAAAUAAAUAAAUAAAUCAGUUUUGAGCAUGUUCAUGCAUCACGGAUGCCAUGUGAUAUUCUAGGAUGCUUGCAUUAGAAAUCACGAAUAUGUUGCAUUGCAUAAUAUGUUGAUGAUGUGGAUGAAUGUUGAAUGAUCCAUUAGCCCUCAUAUGUUAUGACAUGAUGAUAUGAUAUGGAAGUCCAGGUGUGGCCUGCACUACGCCCCUGGCACUAUGUAAGAGAAAGACCGGAUGUGGCCUACACUACGCCCCCGGCAUCAUGGAUUAUGUAUGUUAUGUUAUGUUAUGUAUAAGAGAAAGACCAGGUGUGGCCUGCACUACGCCCCUGGCAUGAUUGGAUUAUGUAGAGGGCUAAAUGGUGACAAGUUCAUCCUUGAUAUGAUUAGUUAUGAUGUGAUGCAUUUCAUGUUAUCAUAUGUUUUAAAUGCUUUACUAUUUUGCUCACUGGGCUCUAGUAGCUCACCCCUCUCCCAAAUUCCCCAGGUUUGC